CUUAAAUUGAAGAGUUUGAUCAUGGCUCAGAUUGAACGCUGGCGGCAGGCCUAACACAUGCAAGUCGAGCGGUAGCACAGAAGAGCUUGCUCUUUGGGUGACGAGCGGCGGACGGGUGAGUAAUGUCUGGGAAACUGCCUGAUGGAGGGGGAUAACUACUGGAAACGGUAGCUAAUACCGCAUAACCUCGCAAGAGCAAAGAGGGGGACCUUCGGGCCUCUCGCCAUCAGAUGUGCCCAGAUGGGAUUAGCUAGUAGGUGAGGUAAUGGCUCACCUAGGCGACGAUCCCUAGCUGGUCUGAGAGGAUGACCAGCCACACUGGAACUGAGACACGGUCCAGACUCCUACGGGAGGCAGCAGUGGGGAAUAUUGCACAAUGGGCGCAAGCCUGAUGCAGCCAUGCCGCGUGUGUGAAGAAGGCCUUCGGGUUGUAAAGCACUUUCAGCGGGGAGGAAGGC
rnacentral:rRNA from 2 species